AGAACGAACGCUGGCGGCAGGCCUCAAACAUGCAAGUCUAGGGGGUGUAGCAAUACAUCACCGGCGGACGGGUGCGUAACACGUGGGAAUAUACCUUUUGGUUCGGAACAACGCAGGGAAACUUGCGCUAAUACCGAAUGUGCCCUUACGGGGAAAGAUUUAUCGCCAAAGGAUUAGCCCGCGUAGGAUUAGCUAGUUGGUGAGGUAAUGGCUCACCAAGGCUCCGAUCCUUAGCUGUUCUGAGAGGAAGAUCAGCCACACUGGGACUGAGACACGGCCCAGACUCCUACGGGAGGCAGCAGUUGGGAAUCUUGGACAAUGGGGGAAACCCUGAUCCAGCCAUGCCGCGUGAGUGAUGAAGGCCUUCGGGUUGUAAAACUCUUUCGACGGGGACGAGUAAUGACGGUACCCGUAGAAGAGCUCGGCUAACUUCGCGCCAGCAGCCGC
rnacentral:rRNA from 1 species